CAGCCAUGGAUCAUUUGGUUUUACACCUGUGAUGUUCUGACAUGGCACACUUCAUUGAGACAGUGAAGAUUUGACAUGAAAUGUAGCUGAUGGGGGUUGGGGCCACGUGGACUCCUGCUCCCCCAAUCUCCCUCUGUAUUUACGCUGCUGUAGGUUAGUUGACAGGGCUGAGGGCUCGGCCGCACCGCGGAAGGAAGCAGCUGGGGUCAGGGCUAAUGUUAGGGUUAGGGUAGAAAAAGGAGAUGUGGCCUGACCUGCCUCAAGACACGAAAAGGAUGAAGAGCUCUAUUCAGUCUGUAUCACGGAAGAAUAACAGAUGGCGCAAUAUAAAUGUGAAGGUUAGAGUUAGGGCUGAACCGGGGUGUGGACAUGAAGCUAGGGUAGGACUGAACCGGGGUGUGGACAUGAAGCUAGGGUAGGGCUGAACCGGGGUGUGGACAUGAAGCUAGGUUAGGGCUGAACCGGGGUGUGGACAUGAAGCUAGGGUAGGGAUGAACCGGGGUGUGGACAUGAAGCUAGUUUAGGGCUGAACCGGGGUGUGGACAUGAAGCUAGGGUAGGGAUAGGGUUA
ensembl:lncRNA